UACGUAGGGGGCAAGCGUUGUCCGGAUUUAUUGGGCGUAAAGAGCUCGUAGGUGGUUUGGUAAGUCGGAUGUGAAAUCUCCAGGCUCAACCUGGAGGGGUCAUUCGAUACUGCCAUGACUAGAGGCCGGUAGGGGAGUGUGGAAUUCCUGGUGGAGCGGUGAAAUGCGCAGAUAUCAGGAGGAACACCCGUAGCGAAGGCGGCACUCUGGGCCGAUUCUGACGCUGAGGAGCGAAAGCGUGGGGAGCGAACAGG
rnacentral:rRNA from 1 species